rnacentral:rRNA from 1 species
CCUACGGGAGGCAGCAGUGAGGAAUAUUGGUCAAUGGACGAGAGUCUGAACCAGCCAAGUAGCGUGAAGGAUGACUGCCCUAUGGGUUGUAAACUUCUUUUAUAAAGGAAUAAAACGAGGCACGUGUGCCUUUUUGCAUGUACUUUAUGAAUAAGGAUCGGCUAACUCCGUGCCAGCAGCCGCGGUAAUACGGAGGAUCCGAGCGUUAUCCGGAUUUAUUGGGUUUAAAGGGAGCGUAGAUGGGUUGUUAAGUCAGUUGUGAAAGUUUGCGGCUCAACCGUAAAAUUGCAAUUGAUACUGGCAGUCUUGAGUACAGUUGAGGUAGGCGGAAUUCGUGGUGUAGCGGUGAAAUGCUUAGAUAUCACGAAGAACCCCGAUUGCGAAGGCAGCUUACUAAACUGUGACUGACAUUGAUGCUCGAAAGCGUGGGUAUCGAACAGGAUUAGAUACCCUGGUAGUC